AAAAAUAUAUACCACUUAUAUUCUAAAACAAUAAUUUAUGUAUAGAAAAGUGAAAACAAACACCCGUGCGGUUGCACGGGUCAAAAUCUAGUUUAUUUAUUAAAUAAGAAAGGUUUUACAAAAAAAAAAUCCAAUGAGAAUGUUAUUUAUAUGGUUUUUAUGUGGUACGGAGAUUAAACGUACGAACGAACUCUUCAUUCAUAUAUACUAAAAUGUUUAUAAUAUCUGGGUCAAAAAUUAAUGUAAAUUCACACAUGCUUGUUAAGUCUUUCAAGAAAAACUAUUGACAAAAAAAAAAAAAAGUCUUUCAAGAGUUUUGUCGGGAUUUUUUGAUAAAAGGAAAAAAACUAUUGUAAGGGCUGAAAGAGAAAGAGAAAGAGAAAGAGAAAGAAACAUAAACAUAAACAUGUGGUUUCAUAGCUUGAGAAACUAUCAUUAAUGCUUGAUCGAGUCUUAACGAUAGUCCAGUCCAUAGAGUCACCAACUCACCAUGGACUUGGUCAAGACACAUCGACCAUCAAAUAUUUAUGGAAUCCAUUAUAUAUUUAAUUAAACAUUUUCACUUUUUUUUAACGUCUUCCUUUUUUUAUGCAGGCCCAUUAUAUUUAUAUUUCCCUAUCUAGAAAAUGAUUAGGAAGGUUUCUUCACUUUUAUGUUUGUCUGAACGGUAUGUCACGUACGUAUGAGCUUAUGCACCAUAUAAAUUAUAAUAUAUUUGCUUCGUAUUUUUUACGACAUAUAUAGCUGUGUAUUAUUGUGGCAAUUAAUGCGUGAUGUAUGUUUUUUGUGAAAUUUUAUUAAACCCACAAUAAGAUGAAAAUAUCAAACGCUAAAUCUACGUCAACAGAUUAAUAUGUUCUCUAAUUAAGCUACUUUUCGUUAGUAUUAUAUAGACAUAUUUUUCAACGUUUUUCUCUUGAAAAAGCACAUGUUGAUAUUAAUAUGUAUCAGCCCUAAAUGGUAUCUAAUCAUUUCUCUAACAGUACAUGAUCUUUAAUAAUUUGCUCCGUCUACAGAAGAUUUGACAGCGACACACAUGAAAUUUUAUAUCUAUAUAUAGAGGGUAAGGGUUUUUCCCUCAUAUAUCGAUAUAAAGGAAAAGAAAAGAAUAGUUGAAAAGAACCACUUCUCAAAUUUCAUUUCUUCCCAACCAUAGCAGCUUUACAUGGCUUCUCGACCUCCCUUUGAGACCCAUUUCUCAUCCAUUUUUGGAAGCUCCUUUCCGAGAUCAACUAGUGAUGAACCAACCGUCCAAACCUCAGGUAUAAAGCUUCCGGUGAUCGAUCUUAGCCAUCUAACUAAUGGCGAGGAAGUCACGCGUAAAAGAUGUGUGAAACAAAUGGUUGAGGCAGCAAAAGAGUGGGGGUUCUUUCAAGUUGUGAACCAUGGGAUUCCCAAAGAAGUCUUUGAGAUGAUGUUUCGUGAAGACAAGAAAUUCUUUGACCGAUCCUUUAAUGAGAAAGUCCGAGAAAAGUUUUCGGACUCAUCAAAGCAUUGUUACCGGUGGGGAAACCCUAACGCCACUUCCCCGACUCAGUACUCCUUUUCUGAAGCGUUUCACAUCACUCUUGCUGAGAUCUUAAGUUUUUCUGAUGAGGGCAACAAUUUCAGGUUUCAAACUACUUUAUUUGAUUUGAGAUCUGUCGUAUGAUGAAACCCUAGUUCUUGAAUUGUGUUUACUUUUAAUAACUAUAAAUUAUUGAAUUUCAAAUAGUGAUUUCGUUUCAGGACAAAAUUCUUAGCAAGCACAAUAACUCGUUAAGAUUUUUUGUAAGCUUUUUCUGAAAUUUGGUAUGGGUAAAUGGAAAUAUUUUAAUUUUUUGGAAUGAAAUUUUAAGGUUCUUUGGAAGAUCAAGGUUCAUAGUCACAAAGCGUCUAUCUAGUAGUAUAUAUACAUAGCAAAUUAUUUUAUAGUUAUAGAAAAUUCUGAUAACAUUCUAUAUAUAUAGAUCGGUCGGUUGUUAAAGAUACACAUAAAUACAGCAUCAUAUCAUUAUUAUACAAUCAUAUAGAUGAAGAAACAUUCAAUUAUUUUAUUUAUUUUAUCCUUUUUUACAGAAGAACCGUUGCAAUGUAUGUGCAAGAGGUAGCUCGAGUAGCACACAUGAUAUGCGAAAUACUGGGGAAUCAAGUGAAAGUGAACUCGAAGUAUUUCGAGAAUAUUUUUGCAUUACAAAACAGUUUUCUAAGGCUUAACAAGUAUCACCCUUGUGUUUUUGGUUCGCAAGUGUUUGGUCUGGUUCCUCAUACCGAUACAAGUUUCAUCACCAUACUCGCUCAAGAUCAAAUCGGAGGACUAGAAUUGAAGAAAAAUGGACAAUGGAUUGGCGUAAAACCUUGCUCGGAUGCUCUUACUGUGAACAUUGGUGAUAUGUUUCAGGUAACUUUUAAUCAUUAAUUAUCAAAGUUUUUAAGGUUACAUGUUGUCUCAUUUAAAAAUCGUUCUACUUAGUUCUAAACUUCUAAAUUAUUUGUGACUAAUUCUCAACCCAAUGACUUAGACUAUAGAAGUCUAAGAGUACAUAUCAAACUAUAAAGGAAGUUAUCUGGUUUAGUAUAUAAUAGAAUGUUAUCCGAGAUAUGUAAGUAAAUAGAAUGAAAAAGAAAGGUUUGCGUUUUCAAUUUUUCUGUUAUCACCAAUCAAAAAUUCAUUUAUUCAUAUAUUCUGUUAAUCUAGUUACAACAGUAUCUUUAACUAAUUCCAAGGAAAACAAAAUAAUGAAUUUACUACGUAAGUUGUGAUAAAAAAAAUUCCUUUACCAAGUAGUUUCAAUAUAAAUCAUCUGGAUCAUAAGAAAACAUUCAGGGGAAACCCUAACUCUUUAAAAAAAAAAACGUUUUCGGAGUUGUGGACAUAAAGUUAUGUGUAAGAUUCUAGUCCCUAAAACUUAACACUACUAAUCCAAAAUCGAAUAGAUGUUUUUGUUAUAAGUAAUCUAAUAGAUGUUGCUAAUCACUUGACUUUGUUCUUACAAUUAGGUAAUUAAUCAUCCUAAAAUCUAACUAAUUAUCUUAUGUAUACGCUAUAGGCACUGAGCAAUGGAGUGUACCAGAGCGUUAGACAUAGAGUGAUACCUCCAGCAAACGUGGAGAGGUUGUCGAUAGCAUUCUUCAUAUGUCCCUAUCAGGAAACAGAGAUUGAAUUCUCUGGGAAUCCGAAGAAGUAUAGAAGAUUCAGUUUCAGAGAGUACAAAGAGCAGAGUGAACGUGAUGUUAAAGAAACUGGUGAUAAGGUAGGCUUGUCUAGGUUUCUCAUCUGAUCCAUCUCUUUGACCUUUGAUAUACAGAAGUUAAAAAUAAUGUUUUCGUUUUUCUCUUGCUGCUAUUCCCCAAACUCAUGAGUUUAACAUAUAUGCUCAAACCACAAGGUCUACUAAUAAUGAAAUGUAAGAAAACUAAUGUUUUAUAUAAAUAUAUCUUCCAUAUUUCUGUUAGACACAUUUUCUCUCAUGCCAGUAUUUUUUUUUCAAUCGUUAUAUAACUUGCUGUUGAGCUUAUGAUCAGUUGUGGUACCCAAUACCCCUUCUGUAGCUAUUGUGGUUAGCAGUAGCACUGCCCUCCAAAAAGAGGUUGCACUCUGCUUUUCAAUGAGAUUGACGUAAGUCCAGCACUAAUUAAAAAUGUGAAAUGAAUUAUCAUAUCGUUCAAUCAUUUUGUCAUUUUGCACAUAAAUGGAAAAUAAAAAAAUGUCCGUUUGGGGAUAUUCGAACAAAAAUAUAAAAGACUAAAAAAUAAAAAAAAAUAAAAGUAACAUUACAUUUUGUGUGGUAGUUUUAGUCCAAUUUUUUUUUUUGAUAGAUGCAUAGCAGAUAUCCGAGCUUUGAUUCCAUUUUGUUCGAGUCAAAAUUUUAUAGUUUAAGUUCGUUUUCACAAUAUUCGGAUAUGUCUAGAUAUUUUAUAUAUAGUUACAUAUAAUUAGAUAUCUAAUCCAGUUAAAAAAUAUAAAAUAGUAGAAAAUAUAAAAGUAUAAUUUUAUGUUUUUAAAACAAAAUUGAUUAAAAUGAAGGGACAAAUGUUUCUAGCAAGUCCUGGAUUGAAAUACUGGUCAUGUACGUCUUUCCUAUAUUUUUUUUACUAUUUUAAGUUUAUUAGAACAUUAUUAAUGAAAAAAAUUUAGGAUAGAGUUUUUAACGCAAUAUAAAAUCCCGUAACUUAACUUUUAACUUUAAAAAAAAUUAAGAACUGACUUUUAAAUAUUCUAAUAAAAAUUUUAUCGUAAAAAUCUUCCAUUAAUUAUGUUCUUUUAGAUACUCAUCAACAAUCCACCAUACCGCCGAUGAAGGUGGUCUUAAUAGGCCAUGCUAAUACGGUUCUACUAGCCUUCUAGUUCUCGGUUUGAUUUCUGGACCGCGUCACUCAACCGAGAACAUCUUACAAGGAUCGAACGGUAAGAGAGUUGAGAUUAUACAGUAAUAACCAAACCGGUCCGGUUAUGUGUACGAACCACGAUUCUUGUGAGUUUCCCUAUUUAAAAUAAACCGUACAAGUUCAUGUCUGAAUGUUUGGCACGGACACCGACGGGGGAAACAGCUGUUUUGUCGGCGUCGGUUGGGAGAUUUUGUCGAAGAUCACUGCUUCUUAUAGUAUCAAACUCGUCAACAGCUUGAAGUAUGCUUUUUGAAACUUUACUUUUGGUUUGGGAAUGAUUUACCGCAGACAGAGUAACUCUGGAACUAUACAUGUCCUGCAGAGAAAACAAGGGCAUACCUCCUACUACCCGUGUCUGUUGUGAUUCUGGAAAUAUUUAGAGGAGCAAGUGGAAGUGGCCUAGUUCUUAAUAGUUUAUACGUGUGCUGGGACAGAGAUAGAGGAGACAAAAUUCCUAAGGAAAUUAUCUGAUUCUUGCUUGGUUUUUGAUGCUUUUGGAGCCAUCUGUGAGGGAAGAGUUGAUACGCAGCUUUUGCAGCAGGGAACUAAUCUCAUAUGAUCAGAUUUAUGUAGGAACUGAAAGCAGGUAAAAUCGAUUCUGGUCAACAUGAAAGAGAAGUCAGAUAUAGAGAGAUUACUUCUGGUCAGGCAUGCUUGUAAAAAAUUUCAUUAUAUAUAUAUCAAAAUGAAAUGUAUUUUUAUUAACAGCGCUGUGUUACCUCUCAAGGAAAUCGCUAAUGUUUUAUUUUGAUGAUUGAUCACAUUAUCGUAUUUAAUGUUCUCAGGCCUCUCAACCAACUUUAAUGUCGUCGAAUGGUUAGGAGCUGAAAAGGUGAAUGGGAAAUGAUGGUCGUAAUGUAUCCAAACUUCACAUGAAGUAUGCAAAGAAGGUCGCUCACGAGUUCUAAGGCGUAUGCUUCAAAGCUAUUUCUUAAGAUCCCAAAAGGAGACACCAGUAUGGUUGCUGCAGCCACAGGUGUGGACGGACAUAUUAAAGCUGUUGAGUAUAUCUGCCUUCUUUCUGUUUCCCAUGUGUGCUUUUAAACGUAGGUCUCAGACAGAGAUGAUUUAUAGUUGAUUCUGCUGAGUAUUUCCACAAAAAGAGUAAGCUUGUUUCAGUUUUAACACCUCUACCGUCUACUUGAUACCAGAAACUGACCUUACUUGCCAUGGGUUAUUUAGGGUUGUAUUAUAUGGUUCUAAUAUGAUUUUAAGCUACUUUUUUAUGCUGACUUAGAAGAGGUCUCAACUAGUAUUGAAAAGCGUUAUGCUGACCGUACAAACAUGUGAGAGGCCCAGGUACUAUUGACAUGGCGGACUUAUAUUGUUCCUUCUUAAGCUGUGUUGAUGACUGCUGCCUUAUAUAAAAUAUAUGAUAAAUGACGCUUAUUCUACUUUAUACUCUACCAAGAUUUGAAACUGUUAUGGCUUAAAGCUAUUAUUAGUAACAGUUUCAUAAGGUUUAACCCUUUACUAACUUAAGAGCUGACGACCGUUUUGUCGAAAAUCUUUGCAUAGUUGGCGUCAUCUUUUGGAGUACGGUUCUGUGCUAAUAUAUUCAGGUGCAAGAAAAUAUUUUUUUUUAAAAUUGGGCUCAUCAGCUGCUACAAAUUCUUUGCCAGCAUGAGUCCGAUAGGCUUGACGUUUGGGCACAACCUAUAAGUCCAGUGUAACACAUCAUCUUUAUGGUGUUCCACUUCUCAUUACUAUAUUAGCUACAUUAAUUGUUUGAUACUCAAUUCUUUCAAAUUGCAACUUACGUACAGGGAAAGUACAUAUUCACGGCUGAAAUUAAGCUCUUGGAAAUGGACCGAGCAUGUUAAAAAACUGUCUUUUUAGUGGAUCCGUGUUUUGCUGUAUCAUUAGCCUCAAGAUUUCCGGCAAAUAUUGUUGUGAAAUCCGAAGUCCGUCAGCUAGUACAGGCCCAUAUAGUAGAUCUUCGUACAAUUCCUGAGGCAUUGCCAUAUUUUGUCACACCUGAAACCGUUGAAGAGAACUCAGCGCUGUUGCAGCAGCUGCCACACUUGGCUGCUUGUUCAAUUACACAGGCUCUUGGGCUUCUCACACCUGCUUACAAGGGGCAUCCGCGUGUUAUGGCUUAUGUCCUGCGCGUUUUAGAGUCUUAUCCCCGUGAACGUGUCACUUUCUUCAUGCCACAGUUAGUGCAGUCUCUGCGCUAUGAUAAAGGGGGUAUCUUCUUAGAGCUGCCCAAAGAAGUUAUACAUAUUUGCUCAUAUCCUCACUUGGCAUUUGCAGGGUGAGUCUGUUCAGGAAGAUGGUGCUUCCGUGAAGAAUGAAUCAUCAUUCCAAGCAAUCUUGUCAGAGGUUCGACAGCAUAUCAUUGGUCUCUCUCUCUCAAGGCCUUGGACUUGUUCUAUAGAGAGUUUGACUUCUUUGAAAAGGUUACAUCUAUUUCUGGGGCAUUGUUUCCUCUUCCAAAGGAAGAACGAAGAGCUGGUAUAAGGAGAUUACAAAAGAGAUAAAGAAUAGGAGAUACAAGAACGAUGAGAUCGAAAAGCUUCUCCGGCGAACUCAGAUUCCUCGCGGCGAAAUAUAUUUAUAUCGACGACGAAAGCCCAAUAUCUCGUGUCUUCUUCAGCAACCCGUGAGGCCCAAUUCUGAUAGUGGACGGCCCAAGAUGAUCAAAGACCCGAGAGAAUGAAGACAAAAGCCCAAACAACAUUCUCCACCUUAGCUUUGCUCUCUCUCUCUCUUCUCUUCUCAUUCGGACAAAAAACAUCUGAAACCCUAGUCUCCUGUCGAAAACUCUCGACUCAUCUUACUUCAUGAGCAACGCUUUGCUUCACCGUUCUUUCCAGCUACGAUUCCUUCGGUUAAGCUCCACCUCGAAGCUAAAACCUACACGCAGCUCUUCCUUCUUGUCUCAGCUCUGUACAGUUUCUGAUUCUGAUGAAGACGACUUGACCUGACAACUACCAUCGAUCGAGACGACGACUGCUUUUUGAACAACCUCUGACCUGAAAACUUUCUGAGACGCUAACAAACCUCUCAGAUCUGAGCGAAAAGACCCCCACUCAAUUCUUAAGGUAACUCCACCUUCUCACUUGCACCUUGUCUGCUAACUGAUCUGAGAUCUUAUCUUCCAAAAGAUUAAAAUUUUCCUGUUUAUUCUGAUCGAAUCUGAAACUGACCCUCAGUCUUUCUUAUUCACUGUGAGGUACCAACAAAGACACCUCUACCUGCUGCAAGACGACUCCUCUGUCAUCUUCCACAGCCGUAGGCAACAUAGCCUACUCCAGAACAUUGAUGCUUACAAGACUCUUCUCCAGAGUCUUUCCAGAAACUCGAAGCAGAAGAAUCAAAACCCAAGAACGAAGCAGAGACCAUACAAGACAAUAACAACCCGAGAAAGAAGUGUUCGUGAUCAAACACCGGAGGAGCCACGAGCGAUCCAAGACGACGAAGACAGGUCCGAAGGACUCAACAGCUUCCGAGGAGAAAUCAACCGGUAUUACUACAAACCAGACUCCAGCCGAUGUAGACGCGAUACUGAUCUAGUGCGGAAGACUAAGCCAUAGCAACUCCGCCGCGGCGGCGAAAACCAAGAGGUAUUCUGUAUCCAAGAGGAGCUUCGACUUUGACAAGAACGGCAACGCAGACAAAGCCGAUGCGGAAAAGGGAGGAGAGGAAGAAGAAGCCGAGCGGCAGAUUCAUCAGCGGCGGCGGAGAGUCGCGUCGGGAGCGGAAGAGACGGACUCCGAGCAGCGUCGGGAGCGGAAGAGACGGACUCCUAGCAGGGAGAGGGAGGACUCGAAGAGCUACCGAUCGGGGAGUAGGGAGAGAGGAAGCGGUAGCAGACGAGUAAGCAGAUCUCCGGAGAGAAGAUCGGAGACGACGAACCCUAAUAACGGCAUUGGCAGUUCUGUAAAUUCGAGUAACAACAACAAUAUACCUGCCAAGUUCGUUUUGGUUCCUGCAACGGAUAAAGAGAAGAGAAGCAGCAACAACAACGCAGAUGUGUCUAUUAAAAGGGUUGCUGUCAAGAGAAACGUGGCGUCUCCAAGGUAUCAGUCGCCUGCAAGAGCGGCGAGAGUUAUCAACCACUCCUAAAGAAAUCUGAAAAAGUGUCGCCUACACGUGUUCGAACCUGAAGGUGUGGUCCAUAAAAGAGAUUUAGAUAAGUUUUGCAAAGCUGUCAUCUUUUUUAAUUGAGCAGUGAAUCUGGCAUUGUUGUAAUCUUCUUACUCUGAUUCUAUUGAAAACCAUUUCUUAUACAGAUGUUCUUCGCACCAACACGAGAGAAUUGAUAAAUGGUGUACCAAAUAAAAGUCUUAUAGCAGUUGGCGAGACAAAUCUUAUCUUGAAAAAGACUAUUCACCAUGUUUCUACAAUGCUGAAGAGGGUACCCCUUAAGCCGAGAAAAAAACUAUAAUCUCCUGAUUCCCACGUUAAUGGACAGAUGAACUGGUCAAUGGAACAUAGCCAUCUUGAGCCUAAGACUGAGCUUUGAUAGAGGAACGAAAGGUGGUUCAAAGAAGUCUGCUGAAAAUGGGUUUAUGACAGGAGGUGGCUGUAAUAGCUCGAGCAACAGAGUAGGAAGACAAACCUGGUCCAAGCUGUUGAGUAGAAGUUGUAAUGCGGCUCUGGAGACAAAUCAGUGUUGGGUAGAUAAGGAAUGUCUUAAACACCUGAAAAGAAGUAAGUCACAAGAUUCAUACACCACAGAAGAAGUAAGACACAAGAGUUGGAAGUGGCGACGACAAUGUACGAAGGAAACUAAAAGAAUAUUUGUAAUGGGAAGAUUAAAAAAGUUUCUACGGUUUGUGUGUUCCUGAGGAUUCAGUUUGGUGUGUUUUGUUUUCAUUGCCAAAAUGGUGUGCUUAGUAAAAUACAAAUAUAGAGAUGGAACGAUAAUUUCAAAUUAAAAUUAGUUAUUCAAAGCUUAGUUGAAGUAGCAGUACGUUAUGUAUAUAAAAAAUAAAUUUCUAAUGGGUUCUUAAAAGAUAGUUGUAUA